UCAGUUCAGCUUCGUUCCCGCUGACCCUUAUAGUCGGCUGCCCACCCCUUCGCUUGCACUUGAAGCCGGCUGGAUUCUCCACCAGUGUCCAGUUGCUCCAACUUCAAGCAAGCCGCUCCUUUCGUCCGCCCAACACUUAUUUGGUGUUGAAAUUCUGCUUACACUUUGCUAAGUUAAAUAUUUUGAAUUUCUUGAAUUUAAUUUUCGUCCUCCCUGUCGUCCGCCAAACGGAAAACUCUCGCCCGAAGCUCCGAGGGACCUUCUUUUCUCUUCCGAGCUCGUUUUCGUGACGCCGAAGUGGAAAGAACUAUAGAAGCACAAAGGCGAUCGAAGAUGAGGAUCGCCAUAAUCCACCCAGACCUUGGUAUAGGUGGAGCUGAGAGAUUGAUUGUAGAUGCUGCCGUUGAACUUGCUUCGCAAGGACACAACGUCCAUAUUUUUACAUCACACCACGACAAACAUCGGUGCUUUGAGGAGACCAUUGCUGGAACAUUUCCAGUUACUGUGUAUGGUGAUUUCCUACCUCGCCACAUCUUUUACCGUCUUCAUGCAGUUUGUGCAUACCUACGGUGUAUUUUUGUCACUCUUUGCAUGCUGUUCAUGUGGCCAUCAUUUGAUGUCGUACUAGCAGAUCAGGUUUCUGUUGUUGUUCCAAUACUUAAACUGAAAAGGUCAUCAAAGGUUGUAUUUUAUUGUCAUUUUCCGGAUCUCUUACUGGCCAAGCACACGACAAUUUUGAGGAGGCUGUAUAGAAAACCCAUAGACUUAAUUGAAGAACUGACAACCGGAAUGGCAGAUCUGAUAUUAGUUAAUAGCAAAUUUACUGCAUCCACUUUUGCCAAGACAUUCAAACAUCUUGAUGCACGAGGAGUUCGACCUUCUGUUCUCUAUCCAGCGGUUAAUGUAGAUCAGUUUGAUGAGCCCCAUUCUUCUAAGUUGAGUUUUCUUUCUAUCAACCGUUUUGAAAGGAAGAAAAACAUUGAAUUAGCUAUCUCAGCCUUCGCCAAGCUUGGCACACUUGAUGGAUGCACUCUUCAAGAUUAUAAUGUAGCUGAUGUUUCCUUGGUCAUUGCUGGAGGUUUCGAUAAACGGCUUAGAGAGAAUGUUGAAUACUUGGAGGAGCUCAAGAAUUUAGCCGAAAGAGAAGGUGUAUCAGAACGUGUUACCUUCAUCACAUCCUGCUCAACACUCGAAAGAAACGCGCUCCUUUCCCAAUGCCUGUGUGUUCUCUACACGCCGAAGGAUGAGCAUUUUGGCAUUGUUCCUUUGGAAGCCAUGGCAGCUUACAAGCCAGUUAUUGCAUGCAACAGUGGGGGUCCAGUUGAGACAAUAAAACAUGGCACCACAGGAUUUCUUUGUUCGCCUAAUUCUCAAGAGUUCUCUGUGGCAAUGGCGAAACUCGUUCAGGAUCGUGCCAUGGGAGCAAGAAUGGGUAAGGAAGCCCGACAACACAUUGUCAAUUCUUUCUCUACAAAGAUAUUUGGUCAGCAACUGAAUCAAUACGUUGUGGAUGUCGCUCGACUUAAGAGAGACUGAAACUGAAGAUCAAUUUAGUAUGAAGUCAAUUCGCCACUGGUGUAGUUGUGAGAGAAUUCAAUUGCAACGAGCUUCAAUCACUACGUACCAGAGAAGAUAUUAAAAUUGAUAAUUUUGGAGCUAACAAUGAUGGUUUAGGCACAAUGAAAUUGAACACAAGUAAACGAUACAAAACGUUAGGAACAUAUACAUCGAAAGAAGUUGAGGAAGAAGGCAAGACUACAAUUCGUUGUAGUUGUCCACUAAAUAAUACAACAAUAACAAUUAUUAGUUUAUUCAUGAAGACGUUUUAUAAUUUUCUGAAAAAAUUCUGAGUUGAUGUAACAUAAAUUUGCUGGAGAAAAAAAUAAAACAAAAUAUGGAUUGUUAACCAAACAAACCCUUGAUAAACUAAAGUUUGAAACUUUCCUUUCAUUUUGAUAUUUCUGUUCAUUUCCACAGCAUAAACAAGGGAGACUACAAUUCUUGUUAUCUUUUCCAUGCCAAUCUUCCACAAAAGUCUUGUGGGAAUUGUUGAACAAAAAGAA